CCCUUGUGUCACUUGGUUUUGUCAUUUCAAGCCAAAACAGAGGACCGGUCGAAGAAAAAUUCAUUGUGAAUCAACACUUAUCAGGGGUGUAAAUAAUUUUGGGCUCAGCUGCAGGCACUGAUUGGUGCUAAUCGGGGACAGGUAUGUUGGCAGGAGGUGAUCAGGUGAGCUGAGAAGACAAAUCACUACCAGGUUUCCAUUGAGAGGCAGCAGGAAGCUUUCAGAAGCUCUCACUCAUCUCUAAGUGAUACAUGUUUGUUUUUUUCCAUCUCUUCAACUGCAGUAAAGAAACAAACAGCAGCAGGAUCUUAACGGGUCAAAGGUUUGAUUCGGUUCAGUGGUGCCGGUUGAAUAAAUGUGAGAGAAAAUCUCCACAUGUAAAUUCUCACACCAAACGCCUGCGAAGUCUUUGCCUGGAGCGUCUUUGCAUUCUGAUCAAGAAGCAUCCUGGUAUGUGGGAGGAACUGGCAAACAUCCUGCUUUAUGAACUGUCUGUCAGCCGCAUAUGAAGCUCGCUGCUGGAGAGGCGAGAAGGAAGAGGGAGGGUCUGUGUUUAAAAGCACCCACAGCGUUUACCGCCUCGCAGGGAAACAAAGGAUGGAAAACAGAUUGUGUUUUUGAAUGUGUUGCCUGCGGUGGAGCUUCAGGGAGAAGAUCUGCAGCCUCCAGUGGAUUCAGUGGUCAGAGGAAACUUAACAAACUGAGCAGAUUUGAUCUUCUGUCCUUCUACCUACAGAAAAAGGAGAAGUCAGUGAAUAAAAAUGAACCAAACUGCAACCGUCUCCCAUCAGAUUGAGUGUCAGCCGACCAAGGAUGUCAAGGAGUUUGUGGACGUCAGCCCGCCGCAGAGGAACUGGAAGGGCAUCGCCAUCUCGCUGCUGGUGAUCGUGGUGGUGUGCUCGCUCAUCACCAUGUCGGUGUUCGUCCUCACACCCGUUGAGCAUCUUGGAAGCAGUAAGUCCAGACUGACUGUGGCGGAUCUCUACAGACCAGAGUUCAGCAUUCACAACCCGGAAGCGACAUGGAUCAGCGAUACGGAGGUGGUGUACAGGAACAGAGACGGUCACGUCAUCAAGUUUGACUUCGUCCUGAACGAGACUGAAGUCAUUCUGACCAACAGCACAUUUGUGGCUUUCAAGGUGGCAAAGUACUCGCUGUCUGCAGAUCUGAAGUACGCGCUCUUCGCAUACGACGUCAAACCGAUGUACAGAUACUCGUACACGGCGUCUUACAUCGUCUACAACAUCUACACGAGGGAGGUUUGGGAGCUAAACCCUCCGGAGGUCCACAACGCCGUCCUCCAACAUGCAUCCUGGGGAAGACAAGGACAGCAGCUGAUCUACAUCUUUGAGAAUAAUAUUUAUUACCAGUCGGAUGUGAGGAGUAACUCUCUGAGAAUCACCUCCUCUGGGAUGGAGGGAGUCAUCUUCAAUGGACUCACUGACUGGCUGAACGAAGAGGAGAUUCUUCACUCACACUUGGCCCACUGGUGGUCACCUGACGGAGAAAGACUGGCUUUCCUCACCAUCAAUGACUCUCUGGUUCCCAACAUGGCUUUGCCCCAGUUCACCGGCAGCACCUACCCCCGAGGCCUGCAGUACCCCUACCCAAUGGCUGGUCAGACGAACCCUGCGGUGAAGCUGUCGGUGGUCAACGUGUUCGGUGGGACUCACACUCAGGAGCUGCAGCCUCCCGAUCAGCUCAGACUCAGGGAUUUCUACGUCACCAUGGUGAAGUGGAUCAGCGACACUCAUCUCGCUGUGAGGUGGAUCAACCGGCCACAAAACGCCUCGCUGCUAACCGUGUGCGACGCCACCAUCGGAGCCUGUCUUCAGAGACACGAGGACUCUUCAGACACUUGGCUGCCCAGACAGAGACAAGAACCGCUGUUCUCCAAGGACAGGAGCAGGUUUUUCCUCACGCUGCCGGUGAAACAAGGAGGGCAGGGAGAUUUCCACCACAUCACCAUGUUCACCAAGAAGUUACGAAGCAGUCAGGAUGAAGUUCGCCACCUAACAUCGGGAGACUGGGAGGUGACAAAAAUCGUAGGUUACGAUGAAAACAACCAGAUCAUAUACUUUCUGAGCACCGAGGACGCCGCAGCACAAAGACACUUAUACAGCGUGUCAACACUUGGUUUGUUUCCACGGCGAUGCCUCACCUGUGGUCUGAGGGAGGAUUGUACCUUCUUCGACGCCGACGUCAGCCCCGAUGCUCAGCACGCCAUCCUGCACUGUCAAGGUCCCGGAGUUCCAGCUGUGCUGCUUCUAAGUUUCGACAACGUGGACUCCUAUUUCAUCUUGGAGAAGAACCUCCCUCUGCGAUCUGCGCUGGAGACCGUAAGGACGGUUCAAACUGACAUCCGGAUGAUCGCUAAUGACAACUUUGAGCUGCCUCUGAAGCUCAUCUAUCCUCCAGACUUCUCCGAGUCUUCCCUCUAUGGCCUCCUUCUAAUUGUCGGCAGCUCUCCAGGUGACCAGGUGGUGACGGAGGAGUUCAGGCUGGACUGGGAUCGGGUUCUGGUCGGGUCGGAUCAGGUCAUCGUGGCCCGGCUGGACGGCAGGGGGUCGGGCUUCAGGGGUCAGAGGAUCUUACAGCAGGUUCAUCACCGGCUCGGCGACGUGGACGCCGAUGACCAGAUUGCAGCUCUGCAAUACCUGGCGAGGCUGCCGUUCAUCGAUCGCACUCGUGUCGGAGUCUUUGGAGAGCAGGGCUACGGUGGCUACCUCACCCUGAUGAUGUUGAAGUCCAUGGACAACCCAAUCAGAUGUGCAGCAGCUCAGGCUCCCAUCACCGACUGGACGCUGUACGCCUCAGCCUCCUCAGAGAGAUACUUUGGUUCGCCUUCGACUAAGGAGAGCAAAUACGGAAGCUCCAAAGUGCAGCCCAGCAUGAAAAGCCUGCAGGAUAGAAGUCUGUUUCUGGCUCACGGCACCGCUGACGCCAAUGUCCACUUCCAGCACUCAGCCGAGCUCAUCAAACACUUGAUAAAGAUUGGAGCCAACUACACUAUGCAGAUCUACCCAGAUGAGGGCCACUUCCUGUCCAGACGCAGCCAGAUCCAGCUGACUCAGUCCCUGAUUGGAUAUUUCAGAGGAUGUCUGCUCGACGCGUCAUCGCUGCUCGACCAACGGGACGACGACUGAGGUGUUGCCGUGGUUACCGCUGUGUGUUUUCUGAGCAGCCUGUCAUUCCCCCUCCUGUCCUGAAGGUGUCCUCAGUGUUCCCACCCUCAUCAUCCUCCCUCCCCUCCUCCCUCCCAUCCUCAGACAGCAAUCUGUGCCAUAGAGUGACUAAGGACUGGAAAUGGACAACGAAACUGGAGCUGAAGAGAAAGGCCGGAACCGUUGUUUGUGGUAGGUUUCAAACUGGAGGUAAGUAGAUAUAUAUGAAAGAAAAUAGGUAAAUAAAUAUGUAUAUGAUCAAAAAAAGGAUGAAAAAACUUCUAUGUAAAACAGUCGACUGGCAGACUGAAGGAAAAACACAAGAAACGCUGUUCUUCCAAACAGAUGCACUGCAGGUCCAACCGAGCAACCAACUAGGGCUGUAAGCAACAAUUAUUUCCAUUGUUGAUGGUUUUCUUGAUUAAUCGAUUAGUUGUUUGGUUUAUAAAAUGGUGAAAAAGGACCACAACCCAAAGAUGUUCAAUAAACUGUCAUAGAAGAGGAAAGAAAACAGAAAAUAUUCACAUCUAAGAAGCUGAAAUCACAGAAUUUAGACUUCAUUUCUUAAAAUAUUGAAUCAAACUGAUUAACUGAUUAGUUGUUUAAUCUAUAAAAUGUCAAAACAAAAAGGUGAUUCCAAAGCUGAAGAUGAUAGCUUCAAAUAUUAUGAUUUGUGGAGGAAAGAAACCAGAAACUAUGCACAUAAAAGGAGUUGGAGUCACAGAUAUGCACUUUCUUUCUUUAAAAAUCACUCAAACUGAUUGGUUAAUAGACAACUAAUUGCUAAAUUGAAUAAUCAUUGCACACGUACUGUGCUGCGUAUACAAAAUUCAGAGCUGACACCUGGUAAAGAACCAGGUGAUCCUGAAAGAAAGCUCAGAAAGUUCUCAUUCAUUGCUUUUCUACUCCAAAAGUUCUUGUAGAAAUGCAAACCAGUCCACAGUUUCACCAAUUUGUUGCAGAAAUUGCUCUUAAAGUUGAAAUCAAUGCCCAAACUGUCUGAGAAUUAUGUUUGAUUCUUCAUUAGUCCACCUAAAACAUUGUACCCUUGUUUUCCAUCACAAUUCCGAGUUCUUAAUAACUUUUUGCUUCCAGACAAAUACAGUUUUAAAGGGAAAGUCGUUUCUAAAUUGGUUCAGAAACAAGAACCCUAACGCCCUAAAUGUGGGCUAAAGUCAAAGCACAGAAGUGACUAAAGCUUGAAUAUUAAUGGGCAAAUUUAUCAAAAACAUGGUUAUUAAAGUACUUCAGUAUCUAAAACCUAGAUAUUAAGUUAUUAAGAUAUCUAAAACUUUGAUUUCAACCCAUUAAAAUAUCAAAAAUCUGGACAUUAAUACACUAAAAAGUCAAAAAAUACUGAUAAUAAUGUUUCAUGUUCACUAAAACCUAGAUAUCGAUCCACUAAAGUAUAUAAAACCUAGAUAUUGAUGCACUGAAGUGUCUCAAACUUGGAUAUUGAUGUUCUAUAGUAACUGAAACCGAGAUAUUCAUCUACUAAAGUAUCUAAAACCUGGAUAUUAAUGUUCUAUAGUAACUGAAACCGAGAUACUCAUUGACUAAAGUAUCUAAAACCUGGAUAUUAAUGUUCUGUAGCACCUAUAACCUAGAUAUUAAUCCCCUAAAGUAUCUAAAACCUGGUUACAAUCUUCUAUAGUAGCUAAAACCUAGAUAUUCAUCUACUAACAUAUCUGUAACCUGGAUAUUAAUGCACUAAAGUGCAACAAACCUUGAUGAUAAUGUUCUAUAGUAACUAAAACCUAGAUAUUAAUUCACUAAAGUAUCUAAAACUUAGAUAUUAAUGUUCUAUAGUAACUAAAACCUAGAUGUUAAUGCACAAACGUAUCUAAAACUUAGAUAUUGAUGUUCUGUAAUAACCAAAGCCUAGAUAUUAAUGCACUAAAGUAUCUCAAACCUGGAUAAUAAUAUUCUAUAGUAAAUAAAACCUAUAUCUUCAUGUGCUAUAGCACCUAAAACCUAGAUAUUUGUCUACUAAAGUAUCUAAAACCUAGAUGUUAAUGUUCUAUAGUAACUAAAACCUAGGUAUUAAUCCACCAAAGUAUCUAUAACCUAGAUAUUGACGUACUAAAGUGUCACAAACCUGGAUGUUAAUCUUCUAUAGUAACUAAAAACCUAGUUAUUAAUGCACUAAAAUAUCAAUUUAUUAAUGUAUUUUCAUGUUUUUUUUUUGCAGAUCUUUUUCGUAAACUUGAUGUUAUAUCUACUGUCUUCUUGCAAACCGAACGUCAGACUCUUCAACAAACUGAAUUAUGAAUCUGUUCUUCUUGACGCAGCGUUUUAAAUUCCAAAUUUGACACCAGUAGAGCCAACACUUUAUCCAUCAGAGCUACAAGUGUCCAGCCUGCUGCAGUCAGACACUGAUAUCAUCACCUUUUAAUUUCCUUUUUGUCGCAUUGUGUCGUCGUGUUUGUGCGGUGCACAGAUACGCUUUAAGCCUCAUGUUGAAAGAGCAGAAAGUUAGAGUGAAAUGUAGGAGAACAGAACAUUUAUCUUCCUCUCCUACCUCCGUGACCUUCAUAAAUCCCCUGUCCAUGCCGCCGAGGCUCCGCUCAGAUUGAACCUUAAUUACUUGAAAGCAAUUACAGAGCCAAUAUGAAGGCCUCAUCCGCUGAGGAAGGAGGAGGAAGCUGAAACUUGAGAAAAACCGCGAAUUAACACCUGAACCAGGAAAUAAGUUUGUCUCUGGUGGUUGUGCAGAAAAUCUAUACAGCUGAAAACUCUUUCUGCUGCAGCAAAGAAACAAUACAAGCUUCAGUUGGGCAGUUUAAAGUCAGUGAAGCAGAGAGCACAUCUGUACAAUGUGACCAAAAGUAUGUUGACACACUUCAUAUCGACGUAUUUAACCAGAAGUAACUGACUAAUGUCUUAUGCAUUAGAUUUCACUUAUUUUAAUGUUGUGUUUGGAUUUGUUUUUAUGAAAUCCAAAUUACAAAUAAAAUAUGGGCCUAAAAUGUCAGAGUUCCUUAAACAUUUUGCCCUUUUUGCCUAAACAAUGAUAAAUGAACAGUUCAUUGGCAUUCAUGGACGCACCGGCUCAUGAAUUUUUCUGCUUUUAACAACAAUGGAAUGUGUUCUUAAGGAAAAUUAAGUGUAUGGUAAUUAUAUUUAAUGUUUUUGUUGCUGCAGUAGUGUUUAUAAAUCACACAAACUGUAUCAAGUCAAUCUUUUCUCUAUAUACUGACAGUGGCACCACACUGACAUCUUGUGGUGGAGGAACCACAGCUCAUCUAAAAAAGGUCUUAGAUUCUUUCGUCUUUAAUCUGAUAGUCUGUAAAGAUCAUGAAGAAUUGAAGGUAAAAUCACUCCCAUUAUAGGAAGAGGACAAAGAAAGAUAUUUGUGUUUAUCAUAAUUAAAUUUUUACUUAUGUUUUUGCAGCUUGUGUUUGCCAGUUCUUGGAAAUCGGCAUGUUUGUGUUAAUUUCUUGGCAGUAAAUUCAGUUUUUAAAAUACUUUUUCUAAUUUAAAACACCUGCCAUGUUAUUCCAUUUAGUCCUAAAAUGAGCAGUUUGUUGGUUUAUGAUUCACAAGGCCACUGAUGACUAAAAGGAAAAUUUUAUGAGGUUCACUUUUAAUUUUAUGCUAUCUGAAAAAAAACUUUCACAUCAGCCUAAAACCCAAACAUGCCAGCAGCUUUGAAAGGCAGAUUAUACUUUUAUAAACUGCCAAAAUGAGGCCAUUUAUCAGCCGGUCACUGAGCGAUACAUCUGUGACACGGUAUUUUGUUGGGAAAUUUAACUAAAAUUUAAACUUAAGAUCAUGAUAUUGAAUUAAAAUCACUGUUUUCUACAUGUUUAAUUUUAAAACUCACCCCCAAAAAUGAUGAGUAUCUUCUUGUUUUCAAUUUUUUUCAAGUAUUUUUAGAACAGAACUUUCACUUGUAGAAGCUGCUAACAUCUGUCAGUGUCCACAGUGCAGUGAAGAAGGAAGUUCUUUCUCUAGAAGCAGAACCUUAAAGCUAUUCUGAAGUUUGCUAUUGAUCACAUGGACAAAGAAAAGGCCUUCUAAAGGAAAGUUCUGUGGUCAGAUGAAACAAAAACUGAGCUAGUUGGCCACAAUGACCAGAAAUGUUAGGUUGAGAGACGGUGAGGCCUUUAAUCCCAAGAACACCAAACCUACUGUCAAGCAUGGUGGUGGCAGUAUUAUGC